ensembl:lncRNA
AAAGGUGGACUCUGCUGCGGGAAAGGCUUCGGUGGAACAAACCGGCCUAGCAUCUGGUGCCAGAGAAUAGUUGGCUCAUAAAUCUUUUAUCCCAAAGCACCCCAGUUUGCACCGAGCAUCUUGCCAUUUGGUAGUUCCACAGUGGCCGCUCUUCUAUUUUAUGAAGCCACUUUUCCCCCCCAUUGAAAUGUGACUCCGCAUCUUAAGAAACAGGCCAGGAGGAGAGGCCAGGUCGGCCACAAACACGGUCUUCCAUCUUCCAAGGAGGGGGCUUGUUCCAACGGUAUGUCAAACGUCAUGACAUCCCACGAAGGAGACCCGGGGUGGUCUUGGUCUCACUCAAGUUCAACAGUGUCUCCAGUACACACCAGCUCCUGCUGCCUCAGGGAAGGGCUGUGUGGGAGAAUGUCUUAAUGCUCACAUCAGUUCCAUGAUGUGCCUCAGUGGUUCAUGUGACUUCAAGCAGUGUGAGCUGCUGGCAGAAGGAGGUUGCAUGGAAAAUGCCACAACUCAGCUUAAGAUUAUUUGGAACACACAGAAGAGAAAAAUCAAGAGGCGGGGAAAUCAGCAUGAAGUUAGGCUAGAACUGUGGAUAGAUGAUGCCUUGGUAUAGUCAGGGUGGGUGGGUUGGUCCAGUAAAAUGACUGCACCAUCACACAAGCCAAGUUUUCUCUUUUAUUGAAGUGUUUCUGAAGCAUUUGCUAUGAUGGGCACUACACUGUUAGUGUUUUCUACUUAAAAGCUACCUACAUAAAACAAAAACAAAAUGACAUCAGUAACUCAGACAGCUUAAACAAAACCCUUAUAACCAGCUGAAUGAUCUGUAGAAAUCCAGUUGUGGAAACCGGUAGGUAUGUGCACAAGAGAGGAGAGGCCAUUAUUCCAAGGGGUCACCUACAGUGUGGAAGAAGAAAACCCUGAUCAAACAGUAUUUCUCAAUGACCUUAAGAUCCCCGGGGUCUUGGGAGAGAUGGGUCGCAUUCCGGCAGGAGGCUCCUGAGCACGUUCACUUAGUGCUGGAAUUGCAAAGGAGCCAUCCACACUUGGGGAAAGCUGCCCGCCACAUUUCCCAGCGAAAUCAUCAGUGACUGUAAGAGCAGCUGCUGGAAGAGGGGAGCGAGCCAUCUGUCCUGUGAGCAGCAGGACCAGGGACAGACGGACGUACAGCCCUGGCGGGGGGUGCGACGCCACGGAGGCUCGGCGCCGACCACUGGGCCUUUCCAGCCUGAAGGUUUGGUACAUCUCUGUCUACCCCUAGGGGAGGAGGAGGUGAGGGAGAAGUUGAGAGGGCAGCGUGGAAGGGGAGGGGACUCUGCUCCUGCGUGUGUUCUAUCAGGGACUGGCUGUGAGGUCAGGAACCUCUGCAUUCUGGAGCACAGGCUGGGUGGAUCUUGCUCUCCAGCUGCUGCUGCAGCUGCACCUUUGUGCUCAAUGAAUGCAGCAGCCAUGGCCGCACGGCCCUGCCUCAGCGCAAGCCUCCUGCAGGGAUGGAGCAGCAGCAAGGGGAGCAAACCCAAUGCCCUGCGCCUUUACCCGGGUGAUUCGCACAGGGAUUGUGCUGCCUGGACACCUUCCUGUCCUCAGAACCUGAGGAACAACUGCUCUCUUAAGGACGAAAUGUGUCGGUCAUUCCAUCUGCAUGGAAGCAGUUUGUUCCAAAGACAACCAGCCAGGGACAGCCUGGUGGCUCCCCCAGGUGUGCUCUGGUGCCCUCGUUGGCCUCACACGGCCACCUGGCUAGAAGGAGAAGAAAUCUAAUACCUUGGUGGAAACCAAGAUAGAAAACAAAACAACAAAAAAAGCAACACAAAACGGGACAUUCUCAGAAAAAGGCAAGCUGUCUGAAAUGAGCAGAGAGGUGAGUUAGUGUUGCUUUGACCCCGGAAUACAGCCUGGCUUCUCCCUGCGUCACCUGGGUGUGGAGCCUGUGGCGUGGAUGAGGUUACCAGUAUCAACGGCCUAUUGUCAGGUGCUGAGAAAUGUGAGAUGUAUUCUUUUGUCUAUAUACACAUAUAAAAAAUAAGAGUGAGGUAGAUAAAUGUUUGGGGGAAAAAAAACCCAAAAAAUCAAGAACUGUUCCAUCACUCUCUCACACACACACCCCACACAUACACACGCACACACCCUUUCCUUGAAAUUUAAAUUCAUAAUGGGGCUUCUCUACAGUGAUUGAAACUGGUAUCACAAAAUAAAUUAAAACUCCUACAUACACCUUUUUUUUUUUUUUUUAAAGGGAACAUGCUAUGGGGUAGAGACUAGAGAAAGCAGUGGGACAAACUGCCGACCAGCAAAAAAGCAGUAUAAACUUUCUUUUUUGUGUUUAAUCUUCAGUCACAACUAGCAAUCACCGUAUCCCAGCAUCCCAGCUUUGUUCUUACUCCUAAACAUUUCCAUCCCAGAAGCAACUCUUGUGCUGUCAUCUCUCUGGUGAGAAGUGCUAAAAACGAAACAAAACAAGACCCCUGGGCCCCGAGGACCUGGAUUCCUGGCCGAGGGAAAGUGGGCCAGCACCACAGCCCUGGUCCCCCGGCAGGAAGCAAAGGGGCUCUUGGGCCACCGUGGCGUCUGCGCUGCCUCGACCUAGCACUCCAGCCGGCACAGCCCUGAGGGUGCCGCCCUGGGCCAGCCUGGAUCCCGGGGUCCCUUGGGAUGUUCUGGUUCCAAAGACAGGUCGGUCGGUCCGGUAAGGGUGGUGGCGAGGGCCACAGCAGGCCCUGCCGGACCACACUCUGCUGCUCCCUUGGACUCAGCAGCUGUUUUUCGUGGGAUGGAAGGAUUAAAUAGCCAUUAAAAAAAAUAGUAAUCCAAAUGCCUAGCGUCUGCAGUUAACACUGCUGUUGUACCCAAGAAUUAAAAAAAUAUAUAUAUGUGUGUCACAACCUAAACAAAGGCAAGGGAAAGAGAGGGUGAGGCUUCUCAACCACGGUGAGUGGAAACACUGAACAAAGACGUGUGAAAUAUUUAACCUUUGUUUUUCUGACCUGAGUUUGUAUCAUGUCUUGCACUGUAACAGACUCCAAUGCUGUGAGGGCAGGCUGGGGAGAGGAGCGUGGCCCUCUCAGGACGGGUGCCCUCACCAGCCUCGUGCCCACAGAGCCUACGGGUUAGAAAACAACUAAAGGGGCAGGUGGCAGCAGGGAUGGGGGAUGGAUUUAUAAAAAGGCAUCCAACAGUUCAUGGCAAAUUAUGUGAUAGAAGUAUCAAUUACCGGGAAAAGAGGAAGAAAGUCACGCACUCUAGUACAAAGCGUAAGAAGUUUCUUGGAGUGAGCAGAAAGGGGAGAGGGUGGACCUGAAGGUUUUCAUAGAUUAAAUCCACAAAGAUCAAGAACAAAAAAAAUAGCAGCUUUUUUUUUUUUCUGUACAGACGUAUAGAUGAAUAUCUGAACCGUAAAAAAGUUAUAAAAGUGACAUUAAAGACGAUGUGUAUGCAAAUGUUUCAUGGUCUAACAUAGAACUGUAAGACCCAUGAAGAAGUCCUAGGAACAGAGAAAAUGUCAACAAAGCUUAGAAUGCUUGAAUCCAUUGACUGCUUUUCUUCUCACUGCUGUUGUGGUGUUUGAAUUUCUUUCCUUGCAAACCUGCAUCAACGGUUGGGCUGAGUCCCUGGAAACCCCUUCCCAUCUGUGUCCUCGGGGGCGGGCGGGGGAGCUGGGGCUGGGAGAGAAGCAGGCAUGGGGCCCCUUGACUCCAAGCCUGUCCGCCAGGCUGCUUCGGGGCCCAUGACCACCAGAUUCUUGGGGGUUGGGCAGGGGGUGGGGUGGGGAGGCAGGGCAGGGAAGCCGGUUCAGCUUCUCCCCACCUUCACUGAGAGAAAGUCCUAUUGUG